rnacentral:rRNA from 1 species
UACGUAGGGUGCGAGCGUUAAUCGGAAUUACUGGGCGUAAAGUGUGCGCAGGCGGCGUUGCAAGUCGAGUGUGAAAUCCCCCGAGCUUAACUUGGGAAUUUGCGCUCGAAAACUACGAUGCUCGGGUGUGGCAGAGGAAGGUGGAAUUCCACGUGUAGCGGUGAAAAUGCGUAGAGAUGUGGAGGAACACCGAUGGCGAAGGCAGCCUUCUGGGCCAACACUGACGCUCAUGCACGAAAGCGUGGGGAGCAAACAGG